rnacentral:pre_miRNA from 1 species
AAUAGAAUUAUUGGGUCAUUUGGUAAUUAUAUGUUUAACAUCUCAAGGAACUGCCAAAAUGUUUUCAAGAAUGACUACACCAUUUUACUUUCCCAGCAGCAAU